GCAGGAUCUGCGCUGCUUGGCCAGAGAACUCAGUGGAAGUUCUAUUCAAAGACUCACUGGUUCGAUGCCUGGGUUUAACAAUCAGAUCUUAGGAGAUUAAUGCUUUUAAGAGGUUCAUAAACUGAGAGAGAUCUUAAGAAAUUGGAUGAAGAGGACAUGACUGCAUCAGAAAAAGAAAAGUAGUGUAAAAGAGAAAAAAAAAAGAAAGAAAAUUGAAUAGAUGGACCUGCUAACAGAAUGAGGUAGGACUGACAUUACUUCGUUUUCCCCUAGAAGUCAGUAUAUGUAGCGUUUCAUAGUCCAUAGACUAAGCCAGCAGUGAGACUUGUGUUAUUGAAGAGUGAGGUUGGCCCACUUGAGCGGGGCUCAGUGUAAUAGCUCCGCUCUCCACUAGAUGGCGCUGCUAUCCUACUGGGGUGGAUGGUUGUGGGGUUCCUAGGUGUGUAUGCGCAUGCGCCAGAGCGGUAAAAAUGGUGCCACCCCUUACCCAAUGUGUUCUCCCGGAUCAACAAUUGCGCCCCUGUCCUCUGUCUUCAGCUUUCAUGCACUCCCUGCUUUUUCACUCUCUGUGACCAGGCCCCAGGCCUCUCUUCCACGUUUUGACUCAGAUGUGGUUGUUUCUGAAGGACUGCGGCUUUGACCUCUUC